rnacentral:rRNA from 1 species
GUACGAAAGCGUGGGGAGCGAACAGGAUUAGAUACCCUGGUAGUCCACGCCCUAAACGAUGUCAACUAGUUGUUGGUGGAGUAAAAUCCAUGAGUAACGUAGCUAACGCGUGAAGUUGACCGCCUGGGGAGUACGGACGCAAGUUUAAAACUCAAAUGAAUUGACGGGGGCCCGCACAAGCGGUGGAGCAUGUGGUUUAAUUCGACGCAACGCGAAGAACCUUACCUGGUCUUGACAUCCUGCGAACUUUCUAGAGAUAGAUUGGUGCCUUCGGGAACGCAGUGACAGGUGCUGCAUGGCU